rnacentral:tRNA from 1 species
GUGGCCGUAGUUCAGUUGGUAGAACCCCUAAUUGUGAUUUAGGACGUCGUGGAUUCGAGUUCCACCGGUCACC